rnacentral:snRNA from 1 species
ACGGGCGAGAGACCGAUAGCGAAC